AUUGAACGCUGGCGGCAUGCCUUACACAUGCAAGUCGAACGGCAGCAUGGAGAGCUUGCUCUCUGAUGGCGAGUGGCGAACGGGUGAGUAAAGCAUCGGAACGUACCAUGUAGUGGGGUAUAACGUAGCGAAAGUUACGCUAAUACCGCAUACGCACUGAGGUGGAAAGCAGGGGAUCGCAAGACCUUGCGCUAUACGAGCGGCCGAUGUCAGAUUAGCUAGUUGGUAGGGUAAAGGCCUACCAAGGCGACGAUCUGUAGCGGGUCUGAGAGGAUGAUCCGCCACACUGGGACUGAGACACGGCCCAGACUCCUACGGGAGGCAGCAGUGGGGAAUUUUGGACAAUGGGGGCAACCCUGAUCCAGCCAUGCCGCGUGAGUGAAGAAGGCCUUCGGGUUGUAAAGCUCUUUCGGCCGGGAAGAAAUCGCACAGGCUAAUACUCUGUGUGGAUGACGGUACCGGCAUAAGAAGCACCGGCUAACUACGUGCCAGCAGCCGCAGUAA
rnacentral:rRNA from 1 species